rnacentral:rRNA from 1 species
UACAGAGGUCUCAACCGUUGUUCGGAUUCAUUGGGCGUAAAGAGUGCGUAGGCGGUCGCGCAAGUCGGAUGUGAAAUCUCAGGGCUCAACCCUGAAACUGCAUUCGAUACUGCGUGGCUAGAGUGCUGGAGAGGAGACUGGAAUUUACGGUGUAGCAGUGAAAUGCGUAGAUAUCGUAAGGAAGACCAGUGGCGAAGGCGAGUCUCUGGACAGCAACUGACGCUGAGGCACGAAGGCCAGGGGAGCAAACGGG